rnacentral:snoRNA from 1 species
AUCAUAAAUAGUUUGCUGGGUCUGUCUUCAGUGGCUUAGGGAGUUGUGGUAGAAGGGCACAGGAAGGCAUCGCUUUUAAGUGAGGUGGCAGCCUCUGCUGUUAACUUCAGUCAAUGGUGUGACAAAG